rnacentral:rRNA from 1 species
GACGAACGCUGGCGGCGUGCUUAACACGUGCAAGUCGAACGGAAAGGCCUGCUUUCCCUUGUGGAUUGCGGGUACUCGAGUGGCGAACGGGUGAGUAACACGUGAGUGAUCUGCCCCCAACUUGGGUAUAAGCCUGGGAAACUGGGUCUAAUUCCCGAUAGGACUGCAGGGUGGUGCCUGUGGUGGAAAACGAUGUUCUAGUGGUUGGGGAUGAGCGCGCGGCCUAUCAGCUUGUUGGUGGGGUAAUGGCCUACCAAGGCGGCGACGGGUAGCCGGCCUGAGGGGGUGGACGGCCUCUUUGGGACUGAGCUCCGGCCCCGGGUCCUACGCGAGGCAGCAGUGGGGACUAUUGGCCGCUGGGCGGAAGACUGAUGCAGCGACGCCGCGUGGGGGAUGCCGGCCUUCGGGUUGUAAACUCCUUUCGACCGCGAGGAAGCCACCUGGUUGGAAGGGUGGUGACGGUAGUGGUAGAAGAAGCACCGGCUAACUACGUG